rnacentral:tRNA from 1 species
GGGGAGGUAGCUCAGUGGUAGAGCACUUGCCUAGCAUGAUCAAGGCCCUGGGUUCAACUCCUAGGCCUUUCCC